AGCGAACGCUGGCGGCAGGCCUAACACAUGCAAGUCGAACGAACCUUUCGGGGUUAGUGGCGGACGGGUGAGUAACACGUGGGAACGUGCCUUUAGGUUCGGAAUAACUCAGGGAAACUUGUGCUAAUACCGAAUGUGCCCUUCGGGGGAAAGAUUAAUCGCCUUUAGAGCGGCCCGCGUCUGAUUAGCUAGUUGGUUGAGGUAAUGGCUCACCAAGGCGACGAUCAGUAGCUGGUCUGAGAGGAUGAUCAGCCACAUUGGGACUGAGACACGGCCCAAACUCCUACGGGAGGCAGCAGUGGGGAAUCUUGCGCAAUGGGCGAAAACCUGACGCAGCCAUGCCGCGUGAAUGAUGAAGGUCUUAGGAUUGUAAAAUUCUUUCACCGGGGACGAUAAUGACGGUACCCGGAGAAGAAGCCCCGGCUAACUUCGUG
rnacentral:rRNA from 1 species